rnacentral:sRNA from 1 species
UUAAUGCAGCCCGACUUGAACGGAAAUCCUUUUUGCUUUAAAAUUUUCCGAUUUAACAAAAAAUUUCAAAGCAAAAAGAUUGGGAGUGGAAGGCGGAAAUUGCU